GACGAACGCUGGCGGCGUGCUUAACACAUGCAAGUCGAACGGAAAGGCCCUGCUUUUGUGGGGUGCUCGAGUGGCGAACGGGUGAGUAACACGUGAGUAACCUGCCCUUGACUUUGGGAUAACUUCAGGAAACUGGGGCUAAUACCGGAUAGGAGCUCCUGCUGCAUGGUGGGGGUUGGAAAGUUUCGGCGGUUGGGGAUGGACUCGCGGCUUAUCAGCUUGUUGGUGGGGUAGUGGCUUACCAAGGCUUUGACGGGUAGCCGGCCUGAGAGGGUGACCGGCCACAUUGGGACUGAGAUACGGGCCAGACGCCUACGGGAGGCAGCAGUGGGGAAUAUUGCACAAUGGGCGGAAGCCUGAGGCAGCAACGCCGCGUGCGGGAUGACGGCCUUCGGGUUGUAAACCGCUUUCGCCUGUGACGAAGCGUGAGUGACGGUAAUGGGUAAAGAAGCACCGGCUAACUACGUG
rnacentral:rRNA from 1 species